UACAGCGACUGCGAAUGGCUCAUUAUAUAAGUUAUCGUUUAUUUGAUAGUACCUUACUACUUGGAUAACCGUGGUAAUUCUAGAGCUAAUACAUGCUGAAAAUCCCGACUUCGGAAGGGAUGUAUUUAUUAGAUUAAAAACCAAUGCCCUCUGGGCUCCUUGGUGAUUCAUAAUAACUUUUCGAAUCGCACGGCCUUGCGCCGGCGAUGGUUCAUUCAAAUUUCUUCCCUAUCAACUUUCGAUGUUUGGGUAUUGGCCAAACAUGGUCGCAACGGGUAACGGAGGGUUAGGGCUCGACCCCGGAGAAGGAGCCUGAGAAACGGCUACUACAUCCAAGGAAGGCAGCAGGCGCGCAAAUUACCCAAUCCCGAUUCGGGGAGGUAGUGACAAUAAAUACUGAUACAGGGCUCUUUUGGGUCUUGUAAUUGGAAUGAGUACAAUUUAAAUCUCUUAACGAGGAACAAUUGGAGGGCAAGUCUGGUGCCAGCAGCCGCGGUAAUUCCAGCUCCAAUAGCGUAUAUUAAAGUUGUUGUGGUUAAAAAGCUCGUAGUUGAACCUUGGGCCUGGCUGGCCGGUCCGCCUCACCGCGUGUACUGGUCCGGCCGGGCCUUUCCCUCUGUGGAACCUCAUGCCCUUCACUGGGUGUGGCGGGGAAACAGGACUUUUACUUUGAAAAAAUUAGAGUGCUCCAGGCAGGCCUAUGCUCGAAUACAUUAGCAUGGAAUAAUAAAAUAGGACGUGUGGUUCUAUUUUGUUGGUUUCUAGGACCGCCGUAAUGAUUAAUAGGGACAGUCGGGGGCAUCAGUAUUCAAUUGUCAGAGGUGAAAUUCUUGGAUUUAUUGAAGACUAACUACUGCGAAAGCAUUUGCCAAGGAUGUUUUCAUUAAUCAGAACGAAAGUUAGGGGAUCGAAGACGAUCAGAUACCGUCGUAGUCUUAACCAUAAACUAUGCCGACUAGGGAUCGGACGAUGUUAUUUUUUGACGCGUUCGGCACCUUACGAGAAUCAAAGUGCUUGGGCUCCAGGGGGAGUAUUGGUCGCAAGGCUGAAACUUAAAGAAAUUGACGAAGGGCACCACCAGGGUGA
rnacentral:rRNA from 1 species